UGCAGUCGAACGGUAACAUUUCUAGCUUGCUAGAAGAUGACGAGUGGCGGACGGGUGAGUAAUACUUAGGAAUAUGCCUUUGUGUGGGGGAUAACUAUUGGAAACGAUAGCUAAUACCGCAUAACGUCUUCGGACCAAAGGGGGCUUCGGCUCCCGCGCAAAGAGUAGCCUAAGCGAGAUUAGCUUGUUGGUGAGGUAAAGGCCCACCAAGGCGACGAUCUCUAGCUGUUCUGAGAGGAAGAUCAGCCACACUGGAACUGAGACACGGUCCAGACUCCUACGGGAGGCAGCAGUGGGGAAUAUUGCACAAUGGGGGAAACCCUGAUGCAGCCAUGCCGCGUGUGUGAAGAAGGCCUUCGGGUUGUAAAGCACUUUCAGUUGUGAGGAAAGUUUGACGGUUAAUACCCGUUAGAUGUGACGUUAGCAACAGAAGAAGGACCGGCUAACUCCGUGCCAGCAGCCGCGGUAAUACGGAGGGUCCGAGCGUUAAUCGGAAUUACUGGGCGUAAAGCGCACGCAGGCGGUUUGUUAAGCUAGAUGUGAAAGCCCCGGGCUCAACCUGGGAAUAGCAUUUAGAACUGGCAGACUAGAGUCUUGGAGAGGGGAGUGGAAUUUCUGGUGUAGCGGUG
rnacentral:rRNA from 1 species